rnacentral:hammerhead_ribozyme from 1 species
AUCUGGCUGACGAGUCCUAAAUAGAACGAAACACGUGUCCUGAAU